UACCAAUGAUGGAAUUCAAAUAAUCAUCAGAUCUGAUGUGUUUAACACACUUGAUUACAAAUCUUGAUGCUGAGGUU
rfam:Arabis alpina cultivar Pajares Aa.chr8_contig_5800, whole genome shotgun sequence.